rnacentral:rRNA from 17 species
AAGCGAGUGGCGAACGGCUGAGUAACACGUGGAGAACCUGCCCCCUCCCCCGGGAUAGCCGCCCGAAAGGACGGGUAAUACCGGAUACCCCGGGGUGCCGCAUGGCACCCCGGCUAAAGCCCCGACGGGAGGGGAUGGCUCCGCGGCCCAUCAGGUAGACGGCGGGGUGACGGCCCACCGUGCCGACAACGGGUAGCCGGGUUGAGAGACCGACCGGCCAGAUUGGGACUGAGACACGGCCCAGA